GUGAGGAAUAUUGCACAAUGGGCGAAAGCCUGAUGCAGCAACGCCGCGUGAGGGACGAAGGCCUUCGGGUUGUAAACCUCUUUUCUGAGGGACGAGUAAGGACGGUACCUCAGGAAUAAGUCUCGGCUAACUACGUGCCAGCAGCCGCGGUAAAACGUAGGAGGCGAGCGUUAUCCGGAUUUACUGGGCGUAAAGCGCACGCAGGUGGCUGCGUAAGUCGGACAUGAAAGCUCCUGGCUUAACUGGGAGAGGUGGUUCGAAACUGCGUAGCUUGAGGUUGGGAGAGGGACGUGGAAUUCCCGGUGUAGUGGUGGAAUGCGUAGAUAUCGGGAGGAACACCAGUGGCGCAAGCGGCGUCCUGGCCCACACCUGACGCUGAGGUGCGAAAGCGUGGGGAGCAAACAGGAUUAGAUACCCGGGUAGUCC
rnacentral:rRNA from 1 species